GUCUAUGGCCGUGCCACCCUGAACAAGCCCUAUGUCUGAUCCUAGAAGCUAAGCAGGGUUGAGCCUGGUUAGUACUUGGAUGGAAGACCACCUAGGAAGACCAGGUGCUGUAAGCA
rnacentral:rRNA from 1 species